rnacentral:rRNA from 1 species
GGGGAGCAAGCGUGCGUCCGUGAGCGCGCGUCGAGAGUACCCGGAGGAAAAGCAUCGGCUAACUCCGUGCCAGCCGCCGCGGUAAUACGGAGGAUGCGAGCGUUAUCCGGAUUUAUUGGGUUUAAAGGGUGCGUAGGCGGGAUGCCAAGUCAGCGGUAAAAAUGCGGUGCUCAACGCCGUCGAGCCGUUGAAACUGGCGUUCUUGAGUGGGCGAGAAGUAUGCGGAAUGCGUGGUGUAGCGGUGAAAUGCAUAGAUAUCACGCAGAACUCCGAUUGCGAAGGCAGCAUACCGGCGCCCUACUGACGCUGAGGCACGAAAGCGUGGGUAUCGAACAGGAUUAGAUACCCUGGUAGUCCACGCAGUAAACGAUGAAUGCUAACUGUCCGGUGCGAGUGAGCGCUGG